AAAGUAAAUUAUCUUUAAUUGUUUUCUUGAUUAAUCAGUUAAUGUUUGCAGAGGACUUACAGAAGUUAAAUUACAAGCACUGAAGAAAGCAAUAAGGUGAAAAUAGACUAUGGGUGGGGAACUGAGGAAGGACAACACAAUGAAGCAAGAUGCAGAGGGCACGGAGCACGCUAAAAGGGAGGAAAUUGAGGAAAUAACUGGAAAAGAAAGUGGAAUGGAACUAAUGUGAGCAGGCAGAAUAAAAGGGGAAAAAAGUUCUAUUUAUUUGGCUCAUCACUUGUAUCAAACUGUAGUAAGUUAACAAUCUGAUGGAUGAAAGGUUAUUUUUACUUACUAUUUCUUAUGCUGUCCCUGUAUUUGGCAUUGCUGUUGUGGGGGAUAUAAGAGGAUAGAGAGGAUGAGAGGAUGAGAGAUAGAGAGGAUAUGUGUUACGAACCAUUUGUUUAUCUUAAUCCAGUUCUGAUAACUGAUUAAUUCAUUUUCUGCACUAACUCAGUCCUGGGCUUUUCUGCUAUAGUCCCUGUGACUGCUGUUUGUCAUGGUAUCUCUGCAUAUUUGCUUCCUGGAAAUGGUACCAAAAUUGUCAACUUGAGCUUUCAAAGAGCCAUUGGGUGGUAACUGCUUUCUAUCCUAAAUAGCCUUGUGGGAAUUUGAAUCACUGACCUGGUGGUGAAAACCUUUCCAAUCCAUUGCAAUCAUCUGGGCCUCUGGGUCUCCUCCAAAACAUCAUUUUCCAGCAGGUGUCAGUGAUUUUGUAAUUAUGCAGAAAAUAAAUUGCUUUUCCUUGAGUGUGUUGUACUGUGGUGCAAAGGAAUAUUCUCAUGUCACACCAGAUAUCUUAAUCCUUCUUACUGAAAAAGGUGAUGUCAUAGGCCUUCAUCCAGUGAAGGCUUGCAGAGAUGUUUAAUGUUAAGUUUGUCUGUAAGUCUCCAUAGAUUUGGGUUUAUAGAUUUGGUUUUGUUAAAGAUGACUGGGAACUUGUAUAUGUAGUUUAUAUAUAUAAAACUGUUCCUAUUGUGUUUCCCCCCCGCCCCUUUUUUUUGACUCAGUCAAGUAAUAGUGCUUCUUCUACCUAAUGUAAGUUGGAAUUGAUUAUAUUCUUAAAUGCUUUGCCUCAGAAUUUAUUAAAUAAUAGAACAAUAGUUAUCUAAGCUGCCACGAAAUGAAAUAACUCCAAACAUGCAUAUGAAGAUUUGAAGAAAAUACUUUGGAUAAUAACCUUAUUUGUGCUAAUAUUCUGGGCAAUACCAGCAGAAAAAAUAGUGACAGAAUGAAUUGGGAUGGUGCAGUGGUACUGACAAAAAUAUUCCAUAAUGAUAAGAGUUCAAGCCCUUCUGCCCCCAAAAAUAUGUUAGGGAAAAAAUCACUGUGAGAAUUAGAACAAAUAUAUAAUUCUCUCUUUGUCUACACUAAAUGUAGGUGAACACAGAGGUAGGAAGGAGAAGAAGGUUCUUAAAGAAGCUUCUUAUUUGCAGCAUCUUGGAAACUUUUAUUCCACCUGAGUAAUACUAGGGUUUUUUGAAGGGGUAUUAACAUGAUCUGCUGUUCUCUCUUUUACCCCAUUUUGGGUGGGGGGAGCAAACCCUCCUCUGGCUCCCCGCUGAAAACCUCAGAAAAUGCUUCUUGGAGCCCCUGGAAUUUCUCUGAAUCGCUUGACAGGGUUUGUUGUGGAGUUUAAAGGUCAGUAAACCUGCAAAAUCUUUUAGGCCAUAGGUUUGGUGAUUUGUUUUUUUUUCCCUUCCAUACAGUGUAGCUUUCGUGUUUGGUACCAUGUAUUUCUUUCCUGUAUGUCUCUGCCUUUCUUCUUUAGAGUCCUGUAUCUUUUACAUUAGGCACCAAACUGUCCCAUUUCUAAAGCACAGCUUUUUUUGUUGUUCUUGUUUUUUUUGUUUUUUUGUUUUUUUUAAUACAGUAUAGACUAAAAUCAGUUUGUAGCCCUAACAAGAUGCAGGGGCAGCUGUAACUUCUCUACGCCUUCUUUGAGAGGUGAGAUGUGAGAUGGUGUCCAGGCUGACGCCAGUGGGAGAUUUUUUUUCUUCACUUUUACGAUAAAAUCCUGGCUCUCAAGUGGUGUCUCUUGACUCUGGAAGUUGGGGAUUGUUUGUAGGCAAUCGGCUAAAAAUAAUGCCUUCCUAAAGUUUUGUGAAGAAUAUGUCUACGCAGUGCCUUUCCUCUGGCGAGGCGUGCCAGUACAGCUGCCCUGCAGUUCAGAGUGGGGUUUUUGGCCACUGCGAAUGCACAAGAUCUUGUUGUAUGGAGAAAAUUGGGAGUAAUGACGUGCGCUUACUAAUUCUUACUUAACAUCCACGUGACAUAAUGUGGAUGUUGAGGUUGUGUUUUACAGUGUCAGUAUUAUUGAAAUAUGGGAUUUGAUUGUGCUAAGUGAAAUAACCCAGUGUCAAAAAAGGCACAAGAACAGCAGGCGUGGGCUUGGAGUGAGGACUGCUAGUGGUAUCGCUAACAAGCCUCUGGAUUUCUCUGAGGGCAGGGCAGGAGGUAUCUAGAGAGAGACCUUUUGCGGGUGGAGGCUGCAGGGCUGGAGGUGCCCGGCAUCCUGGCUCUGCGCUCAGCGGCAGUAACCGGCGGGGCUGAAGCGAGCAGGCGUGGAGCUCAGCAGCUUGCCGAGCCACUCUCUUCUUCACAUGCCACAAGUGAGCAAAGCGUUCUUCUCCUACACUGUGUGACGUCAGCGUGAUCCCAGCUUGUGUCUGUGUCUGGAUACGCAGUUCAGAUAGGCCUCUCUAGCGCAAGUCUCAGGAGAUGAUGUGAUCUGCUGCGGAACAAACAAAAUAUGUAUUUAUUUACUUAUUCUCAAUUUGUGAUGUGUUCUUAGAAUUUCCAAAACCUUGAAGGUUGUGAAAUGAGUUCCUGCAUGACUAACAUUGCUACGUGAUUCCUUACUUUCCUUAGAAUCCUUGAAACUAUGUUGCAUAAAUCAGAAGUCUUGCUGCAUAAUUCAGGUAUGAUGUACAGUAUAAUAUGCAAGACUACUUAUAAUUACGUACUUACUAACUGUUCCAGAAACUAAUGGAUUGUGUAUCACAUCUUGGCCUAGGAAUGUUCUUGAAAGUGAAAUGUAGCAGUGUUAUUUUAAUCAUUGACAUAGCAUUUACUAAUUUUCAAACUUUCUCCUGAAGUUUUGCACAAAAUAAAAAAAAAAAGGUACUCUGCAGAUAUAGAACCUUCUACAAGCAUAUCGUAAUUCAGCAUUAUGUGGCUAUUGGAUAGGGGGAUUCCAAAAAACUACAGGGAACUACAUGGGAAAAACUACAGGAUUCUCUUGGGACCAUGUAAAACAGAACAUGCGCUGUCAAGAUAGUUAAGACUGAAUGAAUAUUGCUUUAAUAAUGGUGAGUCCUACCUUGGAAACACUGCAUUCUGUCUGGCAGAGUCUGAAAUCUGUGAUUAGGAAAGACUUUCUAUCCAUUAUUGCUAUGACUAUGUAUGGAUGCUACUUGGAAAUGCUUGUUGGAAAAAGUUUUGUAGAAUUAACCAUAUUCGUCUUGGAAUCCUUAAGGAUGGAUUAUAUGUAUUUGUUACUUAGUCAUGGAGUAUGUAAUUAGCACUUCAGCUAAACAUUUAUUAUGCAUCUGGUGAGGAAAUGCUUUCCUUUGUAACACUGGUUCUUAUAAAUCAUAUUUUAAUAUGGAUAAUCCUCUUUUAACACUAAUUGGAGUAUGGAGCUAAUGCUUAUUAAACAUCUUAUUCAGUGUAAAGACUGCUAGGAUAGUCACAGUAUGCUACUGCAGUAUCAGUGGAGCAGAAUUGGAGAGAGCGUGAAGGAGUCAUGUAUAAUAGGCAUGAAUGUAAGAUUUUUACUUUGUCCAGUCCUGUUUCUAGCAGUCUUGUAUGUGGCGAUAUAGUCAUUGUAAAGAUUUAAUUGGCUAAGACCUUGCCAGCUUGCAUUUGACAACUAUGCUGAAAUCCUGGCCAAACUUUUCAAGAGCAUGCAGCAAUCUGCAGUUGGCUGAGAGCAGCGGAUAUAAAUAGAUGAUAUGCUGCUGAAUUACAAUUGAUUAUUGAAAUUCAGCUAGGGUAUAAUAGAUAUCCAUAUAAAGGCAACAUUGUUUCCCUAAUAUGAGACUUUAAAUGAAUGCAGUUAAUGUUUAUCGCAAAAUCAUGCAAUCUCACCCAUAGUUUUAUGAUUUUUGCAAACAAAAAUGAUUUUUCUGCUCUUAAAGAGAAAAGAAAAAAGUUGUGGUCUGUUAUCUGGUUGGUUUCCAGUAGGAACAGUUCAUUAUUUUAUUUGGGGUUAGGCAAAAGCUGGAUGAAGACAAGGCAUAUUUUAUAUACAUAAAUUGUUUUUCAAGCAUUUUGCUUCAUCCUAUCCAGUUUUCAUUUAGUAGGAAUCGUACCAAUGAAUAGCAGUAUCCAGCUGAUACUUGCUUUCAAAGUUAUUUGCUUUAUUCCUCCCAGUAAUAAAGAAUAUUUUAGGCCAGAUUGGAACUUUGGGAAAAACGGGAAAAUACAAAGUUUUAUUCAUGGAAUCAGCUCUUAUUAAUCUGUGUUUAAUAACUCCAUAAUAGUAUUUUCCAGAGGCUAAAAUAGCAUUAAGGUCCAAUUGCACUACAUGUGGCAUGUAGGAAGUUGUAGGGCUCGAAGGGACCUUAGGAGGUCUCUAGUCCAACCUUCUGCUCAAAGCAGAGACAGCUACGAGGUCAGACCAGGUUGUUCAGGGUGUCAUCCAGCCGGGUCUUGAAAACCUCCAAGGACAAAGACUGCACAGCCUCCCAGGGCAACCUGUGCCACAGCUUGACUGUCCUCAUGGUGUAAAAGUUCAUGGGUUCUUUCCAACGUGCAUGGCCGGUCUGUGCUUCUGUGUUAGAUCUUGCCUUCACCUAACUGGGGGUUUUGCAAUUUAACUUUAGAAGAAGAUGGACAAGUCCCUGACUUAGGUGUUUCAGGUAAGGACUGGGCUGUUUCUUUUGUAUACAGAGAAGCUAAGUGCCUCAGAAGGCUUGCUACAAUUCCCCCUUCUUGUGGGAGGAGGUGCAGAAUUUGGAAAUGCUGAGUGUGGAGUUAUGUUUAAUAAUGUGUCUUCAUGAAGCUUAGGCAUUUGAGGUAAUGCCAAGUAUUCUAGUGUGUGAGAAGUCCAAAGUGUAGCAUUUGUAAGGUAUUAUGUGAGGCCAAGACCAGGAAGUAGUCCCAAAACUUUGUCACUUUAUGUUGUGCAGCCAGGAAAGCCAACAGUUAGCUGUUAGCUUACCUUGGCUCAUUUGAAACAUGGUACCUGAUUAUGAAUUGUUCAGGUCAUUUUAGGUCAAAGAGAAGUGGCUUAGUUGGAAGCACUUGCAGGAGUGCUUUAAGUGUAAAUUGUAUGUUGUUUCCUUCAAAUGGUCUAGCAGUUCUUAGGCAGUAGGUGUCAUGUGAGCGGUGAUUUAGAGUAAUACGACUUCUCAGGUGCUAGUUUGCACCUCCAGCAGUCCAGCUUAGACAAUUUAAGCAAGUGUUAGCAUGCCAAGUGAUGAUGCAAAAUUGGUGAGUUAGUCCUGCUAAGAAUAUAUCGGGGUUGAGGGUGUAAGCAUGCAGAUAUGUUGAUGUUUCUGUUUGGUCUUUUGGCCUGUGCUUCAGUCCACUUGGCUUCCAAGGUUGUCUCCUCCAGUGUCCUCCACUAUCCUUGCAAAGAAGUACGCAGCUCGUUCUUUCCUUUCCUAGCAAGACCAGAGGAAAGCAUAAUUAAUGGUGGUAAUAUCUGCUUUUUCUGUGCGACAACUGUGUUCAGUUCACUUGGUUUGGAAAUGGGAAAUACCUCAACUAGGUAGGUUUAAACCCUCAUCUCCUACUUCCUAGGAUGUCAGCCACUAAGUUACAGAUGGCCAUGUACAUGCCUUCUGUUGAAACUCUGCAUUGGGAUGAACAAAUUUCAAGACUCAUGGGGUCAGAAAAAACACAAUGCUCUUUCUUUUCUCAUUUUGGUGACAACAGUGAGAAAAAUAGACCAACGAGUGCUUCAGCACUGAGCUACAAGGCUCACUGUCCACCCAUCUGCAGUCUCCCAGGCUUUAUCUGUGUUGUUAUUCAGUUUCUCACUGCUGCAGUUUUCACUAAUGAUAUUAAUGGUGGAAACAUCAGUUGUCAACGUUUUAAUAAGCAUCAUUAACUAUCUCAAAGUAGGUAAAUGAUGAAGCUGUUGAAAAGCCAGGGGUUGCACACUGCCUCAUGUCUGCACUCCUGCUGCCCUAGUGGAUGGAGCUCAGUGAUGGAAAAGGGCAAAAAUUAAGAGGCAGAUAAAGCCUAGAUGUUGGAGAUUCUUCCUUUCAGUGUUUAUUUUAAUGUUAACAGAGGAGCAGCAUGCAAUUAUUUGAUAAUAGUUGUACUGCUUUAGUAGUCUAACAGCCUAUGACAAUUUAUUAAUUUCUGAGCUUCUUACCACAAACACAAUAUGACUAUCUAAGGGUUUUCAAAUUAUGCAGCAAACAUUACUUCUGUUUUAAUUUAAAAUGUGUAUCUCUUACAUAUGAGAAAUGUUUCUUAUGUGUCUACCUGACAAAUGUCAUUGUUCCUUUCUUGGUUAUUUGUAGGUCCAGAUUUACUGAUAGUUUUUUUUUUUUUUUUGACUAAGUGUAAAAUAUUUCCAUGGGUAGACAUUAAGAUAUUAUUACUACUGUACCUUUGUAAUUUCUUAAUGCAAGUCUUGUAACCUUUUUUUUUAUGGGAUUCUCUUUAUGAUGUCUGGCACAGAACUUGGUUUCUGGAUCACUCAGUAAAGGCCAGACCUCUGAAUGCUUUAUAUCAUUCACAAUAAAUUAGACCAUUCACUAACAUCCAGCAAA